rnacentral:rRNA from 1 species
AUAGCGUAUAUUAAAGUUGUUGUGGUUAAAAAGCUCGUAGUUGAACCUUGGGCCUGGCUGGCCGGUCCGCCUCACCGCGUGUACUGGUCCGGCCGGGCCUUUCCCUCUGUGGAACCCCAUGCCCUUCACUGGGUGUGGCGGGGAAACAGGACUUUUACUUUGAAAAAAUUAGAGUGCUCCAGGCAGGCCUAUGCUCGAAUACAUUAGCAUGGAAUAAUAGAAUAGGACGUCGAUCCUAUUUUGUUGGUUUCUAGGAUUGACGUAAUGAUUAAUAGGGAUAGUUGGGGGCAUUAGUAUUCAAUUGUCAGAGGUGAAAUUCUUGGAUUUAUUGAAGACUAACUACUG